rnacentral:lncRNA from 1 species
UUAUUAGUUUUGAAAAGAAGGGGAUGUAACAUAGGCGAGAUUGCCCCAAUAAAUAACACUACACCGUAAGAACCAAAAUGCUAAACCUUUUCUGUCCUUCACACUUUAUUAUUGCAAUCUUAGUUAUAGAGCUCAGGAGCAAGGCGAGGUGAGACCAAUGCUUCAAGCGGGGUAGAUUUAAUGUUGGUCAAUCCAACUGUGCCAGUCAAGUCAAUCAAACCAUUGGAUGGUGUUGAGAAAUCAAAGGCGUGCAAGAAAUUAGACAUGGUCAAGUAUAGCAUAUGGAGUGCAAACGAUGUUCCAGGACAACUCCUCCUACCACUGCCAAAAGGCAUCAGUUCAAAAUGCUGGCCCCUAACAUCCACAUCUUUGUGGGUUGUGAGAAACCUCUCGGGCUUAAACUCUGAUGGUUCUGGCCAUUUUUUAGGAUCCCUUUGGAUCUUAUGAAGGUUUAUGAUCAGUCGGGUGCCUUUGGGGAUGUCAUAGCCUCCAAUAGAACAACUUUCACUGAGCUCACGAGGUGCUGACAAAGGUGCAGGUGGAUACAUUCUUAAUGUCUCUUUAACUAUGGCUUGGAUGUACACUAAUUUGCCGAUGUCUGUCUCAUUCACAAACCUAUCCCUGCCUAUAUAGGUGUCUAAUUCUUCUUGAGCCUUUUUGAGUAUAUGAGGUUUGUUCAGCAUUAGGGAAAGACCCCAUAUUAAGGUAACUGUUGUGGUGUCACUGCCUGCUAAAAUCAUAUUCUGCAAUACGUAAUUUUGAUAAUUUUAGAACUUAAGAAUUGAAUAGUGGAGAGAUUAAAUUUGAAAAAAGAAAAAAUAGAAGGUUAUACCAAGGAAGUGGCUUUGUUGAUGGUGUCAGCAUCAUAUCCGGCAAGACUUGCACCUUUAAGAACAGAGUUCAUCACGUCCAUGAAAUCCUUCUCCUUUUUAUUUUCAUCCCAGCGUCCACCCUUCCUAUGGUCAUCUAGCCAUCCUCCGGAAAUUUCAUCCAACUCUUUAGCAGUUUUCUUCAUCCACUUCUCAUAACCACCAAUAUCCAACCAUCGGAGGAAAGGGACUGCAUCUCCCAACACAAACAUCCCUGUCAAGUGAAAGAAAUCUCGUAAAGCCUUACGAUAUCUCAACACCUCUUUUUGGUCUUCCUCUGCAACAACACUGUACCUCUUCCCAGCAACCGUCCUCAUAAUGACGUUCAAAGUCAAGUCCGAAAAGUGUUUCUUCAUCUCAACCAACACCUUACUUGAGCCAUCCUUUUUCGCAGCCCAAGUUUUAUAUAAUAGUUUCAUUGAGCCUUCUAUUUCCGAGACAAACACUUUCUUGAGCUGAUCGAUCCUGUGAUUGGAUAGCACCUCCAACAUUGUUAUUUUGCGCAUUUCACGCCAGUAUUGUCCAUAAGGAGAAAACCCAAACAUGGCAUAGUUGUAACCCAAGUGUUCAGCGGCGGCAAAUUCUGAUCUGGAAGAGACAUACAUAUCAUUGACGGUGAAGAUUUCCUUGGCUACCUCACUCGAAUUCACCACCAGGGCUGGGUGAACACCAAUCCGGAUCAUGUAGGCAGGUCCAUAUUUCUCACCUAAGUCUCCCAAUGUUUCAUGAGGGGUCUUGGGUCCGCCUAACAGCGGAAGGUGACCGAUUAUUGGCCAUGCACCGGCUGCUACGGGUGCAGCUUUGCUGCUACUUCCUGAGCUAGACUUCUUGAGUUUGGUGUACAAAAACAGUAGCGUGAUGCCUAACACUACUGCAUAACCAAAAGUGGAGAAAUCAAGAAGAUCCAUCACUGCUGUGUUAAGAAAGUGUAGAGAUCUUCUGAAGAAAUUGAUGAUGGGAAUGUCUUGCCUUUUGCACUUAUAAAUAUAGCUGGGGUGCCAAGACGCCAACGGUCAAGCUUGUCCUUGUGGAAAUUGAAUUUUUUAAUUCUAUUUUAUUAUCAUUGAAUAAAGCUCCGUCAUCAAUGUUUGAAUGGUAUUCAGGUGCCAUACUGGUUCAUCCACUGAAGUCAAAGAAAAUACUAACAAGUUCAAAACCUUAAAUAGGCUACGGAACCAUCCAAGCAGUUAAGACUAAAGCCGAAUCCCUAACCAUAAAGUGGGUCUAUAUGGAUGUUAUUGUUCCAUCUUUUAUGAUCAUUUGAACUAAAAGGUAAAUCGGUCGGUAUCAACACAUUUAGCUUGAUAGUUAAAUUAAUCAUGUGAUGCGAGAGGGCUCUUCAAUAAUGGCAACUACAUUAAGAUAGUAAGGUCCUCCGUUUUCAACACAUUGUAUAUUUUAAUACAUUGGUCACUUAUGUAGGUGAGAGGGUUCUUGUUUGGCGGCUUAUACUUUAAUAACAUUUCCAGGUUUUUUCUCUUCUUUUUUGGCUGUCCCACUGCUAACUGCUUAAUUAGUCGGUCAGCUCCUUUCUAAAAUAAGAUAUAUAGAAGAUGUAAUAAAAAAUUUUAGGUUCUUGUUUGGCGGCUUAUACUUUUAUAACAUUUCCAGGUUUUUUUGUUCUUUUUUGGCUGUCCCACUGCUAACUACUUAAUUAGUCGGUCAGCUCCUUUCUAAAAUAAGAUAUAUAGAGGAUGUAAUAAAAAAUUUUGGUUGGUUAAAAUUGAGAUUUAUUUUUGUAUGUAAGUAAAAAUGUAAUUUUAUUAUUUUAAUAAUUUAUAUUUUUUGUAAUUUUUAAAAAAUUUAAUUAAUUUUUUUUAUUAUUUUAGAGGUGAAGUGCAAUUUUAUUAUAACUAAUUUAAAAUUUUAUAAAUUAUUAAAAUGUCAAAAGAAGGAUUUUUUAUUUUAAGAGGGUCCAGGGCACCACCGGGUACACAAGACCCUUAAAAAAAUUAAUUGAAAUCUUAUACUAAAUUUGCAUUCAAUUCAACUUCUACAGUUAAUAAAAAAAUAAUUAAACCCUUCCGUUAAUAGUUUCUAUCUUUAAUUAUGUUACUAUUAAAAUCAAUUGAUAAAUCAAUCAAAUGACGACACGUGAAAGCUUUUGAUUUAAUCAUAUAAUUUCCUCAUUAAAAAUCAUAAAAAUGUUAUAAAAAAUUAAAAAUAUAUAUAAACUUAUAAAACCUAUAAAAAUUAUAAAAACUUAUAAUAAAUUAUACAAAUAGUAAAAAAUAAAACAUAUUAAAAAUAUUUAUAAAUUAUAAAUAUUAUAAAAAAUCUAGUAAUCUAAUAAUUAUCAAUAAUUAUAAAACUUAUAAAAAUUAGAAGAAAUUAUGAAAAAUUGUAACUUUAUUUAAAACUAUAAAAUGUUACAAAUAUAUAAAUAUUUAUUUAUUUGUUCCUCGUUUUAUAAAUUAAACCCCUAAAAUUAAAAUAAACACGCGACUUUAAAUCAACUUUUGGAUAAUGAGAAUAGUCGUUUGAAUAUUUUAUGUUAACAUACAUUAAUAUUUACAACCAUUGGAUAAUAAGUUUGGUUUUAUAAUAUCUAACUGUACCAAAAAACUUUAUAUUAUACUAUAAACAUUUUUCAAACUUUUGGAGUUCCAAACUAUUGUAUUGUACUUUAAAAACUAAAUAUAAAAAUUUUAAAAUUAAAAACAAUAAGUUAUCAAUAAAAAGGAAAGAGCCUCUUAAUCAUCAUUAUAUUAUUUUUGGAAGAUUGAUAAUAUUUCAUUCAACACGAAAAUGAUCUUAACGAUCUCACUAUUAUUCUCAUUGUUCGAUAGUUAAUCUCAUAUGAUGUGUUUGUUAUGAUUUUAGGGUUUAACUACCUUUUUAUAAUUUCUAAUGUUUUCUAAUUUUUAAUAAUUUUAUAAGUUUUUAUAAAAUUUAAUAGAAAUUUUUGUAAGUUUAUAUAAUUUUAUUAGUUUUAUAAUUUUUUUAAGAUUAAAUAAAAAAGGUUAACUUAUUUUAAUAAUCAAUAUGAUGAAAAGACAAAAAAAUAUUAAGAGAAGUUCUUAAUUAAUUUUUUUUAUUAAUUGUAAGAAUUCAAUUGGGUUUAAUUUCAUCGAAAGUAGGUAGACUUGUUGGCCAUGCUGGGUUGGAUAUCAUUUUGUCGACUUUGAGGAUUCAGUGUCCACUAUUCUCAAGUAACGUAGACUUUUCUUUUCUUUUUUUUAGUAUAUAAUAUGAUAUUAAUAUAUAAAGACACCAAAUUUGAAGAAAGUUUACUUCAAGAUUAUUAAAAUGUAUCCUGGGAAAUUUUUUUACCCAUCAAAUUACUCAUAUUCUUCAUUGACUUAUUUAAUAUAAUACAGGACACCAAAAUUGAAGAAAGUUUAAUUUAAUCCAAAUUCAAGUUUAUUAAAAUGUAUCUUACAAUUUUUCUUUAACCCAUCAAUGUAAUAUUAUUUGAUACACUUUCGAUAGAGAUUUUAGAUAUAAUAGGGUCAGUAGGUGAUAAGUAUUUUAUAAAAAUAUAAUAAAAUAUUUUUUUUUAAAAAAAGCAUGACAAUUUUUAAAAACUACUUAUAAAAUAAAAAAAUAUAUUAUUAAUAUAUUAAAUACAAAUCCUAUUAAUAUAUACCAACACCAAAAUUGAAGAAAGUUUAAUUUUGUAAGAUCCACUUCAAAUUUAUUAAAAUUCAUCUUGGAAAUUUUUUUAACCGAUAAACUUUAUAUUGUUCACUGAAUGACAAUUUUUUUCAUUUUUUAUUUUAUUAUUUUAUCAAAUGAUUCUGAUUAAAUGAACUUAUUUGGAGAGGGAUGAUUGAUUAGUAUAUAUAAAGCUUGGACAGGCCUGGUUCACCACUGCCGUCUGAAAUUGAAAGAGCCACCAAGAGGGUGAAUGACAAAGACAAUAAUGAACUGGAUCCUAGGGAUCAGAAGAUGGAGGACUCUCAUGGUUGGAAGGAAUCUCAUGGGAAGGAAACUGUUUUACUUGAUCACGAUGAGUUUGAGCUGUUUGGAUGAUGAUAAUAAUGCAGCCUCGCCAAUACCCAAAAAUAUUUUUUUUUCCUACGGUUUAUAAUAGUUGAACUUUUAGUGGUAUAAUAAAUAUGAUUUUAGAAUUUUAUUUCUAUAAAUCAGAUUAAUAAAUAUUAAAUAUUAAUAUUUAUGAGAAUAUAUAAAAAUAUAUUUAAAAUUGGCUUAAUAAUUUUGUCAAUUAUAUAGUUAACCAAGGCUCAAAGAUUAAAUUGUAAAAAUUUCAAUCGUUAUAAAUUUUUAAUUGAUUGAAGACUUAAAUAACAAUUAAUCAAUGACUAAAAUGAUAAAUAAAUCAUUUUGUAAUAUAAGAUAGUAGAUGAUGAUGCUGUUUUCCAAUUGUAAUUAAAGUAAACUAAUUAAGGAUUAGGUUAAUUAAUCAAGGUUAACUAAUUUUUAAUUAAGGUAUAAAAGUUAAAUUUAGUGGAGGAGAAUUUGUCAUCUUCCUCAUUUGCUCUUCUUGUCGUCCAUUGAAGAAAGCCUAAUGAAAAAUACUAAAGACAUCCUGCCAUUGAUUUUAAGAUAAAUUCAAGUCAUUUUAUUAAGAUUUUUAUGAAUUUAGAGUUCUGGGAGUUUGAUUUGGCUAAUUUAUGUACCAAUUUGUAAAACUGUUAAAGUUUUAGAAAGUUGCAUAUUGUUGAUUUAUUGAAGAAUUAGGCUUGAAAUUGAUAGAUUUUAAACUUAAAAAAUAAAAAAGAACUAGAUUGUAAAGUUAAUUUAGCUUGUUUGUUAAUUUUGUUACAUUAGGAAUCAAAUUAAAUAAAUAUAAAACUUAUCAUGAAAUUAUAUUAGAAAUAGAAAGUAUAAGGUUCAAAAUAAAAAUAUGUGAAAUCGGAUUUUAAUUCGAAUCUAAGAAUUGAAAGUUAUGACUAUCCCGACUAUAGGUUCAUGCAUAUCAUAGAAUAGUAUGGAGAUACUUGGUAUUGAUUAAUGAUAUAAAAUGAUUGUUUAGAUCAAGAAUCGGAUCGAAGAGAAGUUGAUCGGGAAAAAACUAAAAUUGCGAAUUAGCCCCUAAAGUAUCCGCUUUGCAUAUUUUGAACAAAUAAGUUCAAAUGAAACUUAUCACUCUCUUUUAUUUUAUGUAUAUAUUAAUUAUGUUUGAAUUUAUCUAUAUGCUAGAAUUUAGUUAAUUUGGCACAUAUGACUUAAAAUUGACUAAAUUGAAAAGUCAUGUGGAUAUUGAUUAUUAUGAAAUAGUACAGGGUGCAAAUAUGAAUGUUGAUUUAUUACAGAACUCGUAAAUGAAAUAUGUAAUCAUGUACAUAUUGGAUCUGGUGACUUAAGUGUAGUAUAUUCGUUUAUACAAUUGUAAUUUUUUCGAAUAAAUUGGUUAAUAAAUUAUUAGUGAAUUACAAUAAUACCCUUUGUAUAUUGUCCUCACGUGAUUUUUGCAUGUAAAACAAAUAUUAGUUCAGUGGUUAUCUAAUGUUUAAAUAAUACUAAAUGGUAUUACGUGGUCGGAUUGUAAAACGGAUAGAUAUCUAAUAUUAGUAGACAACUUAUAAAAUAACAUGUUAUUUCCGAUUAGAUUAAGGACAUGUUUAGAUUCGCCUACUAAUAUAAGUUGUUUUUCCGUAUUAUGAUCCGACCACAUAAUACCACUUAGUAUUAGUUUAAACAUUAGAUAACCAGUAAACCAAUAGUUGUUUUUAUUUUUACUUUGCAUGCAAAAACUAUACAAAGACAUUAUACAAAGUAUAUUAAUGAAAUUCAUAAAUUAUUUUAUUAACCAAUCUGUUUGAAAAAAUUACAAAUUUACAAACUAAUAUACUACACUUAAAAUAUAGAUCUAACAAAGAUAAAUAAUUAUUAUAGAUAUUUGUAUAUAUAUAUAUAUAUAUAUAUGAUGGUUGAGUUAAUUGUUAUUCAUGUGUUUAAUUAAAAGCAUGAUAGAAAUUGGGUUAUGUAAAAUACAUAGCGAUGAUGUAAGGCAUUAUUUGAAUAGCCAAUAUUUAAAUCAUCUACAUUUAUGCUAUGCCUCGCUAUGUUCCCAUAUUUGAACUUAUUUACUUUUCCUUGAUAAAUUUUUUGUAAUAUACCUUGAUAAACUUUUUGUAAUAUUGAAACCUUGAACCAAAAUUUCAUAAAUUCUAAUUAAUGGGAAAAAAAGAAGAUAAUACGUAUCUCAAAAUGCUGACUCCCAACUCUUUAACAUAGUCGUGCAGGGUGAUGCUAGCAUAUUAGACACAACAAGUAGAAACGCAUAGCAGAAAAAUGAAGUCAACAUUUGCCAAAAAAAAAAUAUUGAACCUAAAUUUGAGAGCAAAGCAUUUUCAUGUUUACCAUAUAAACAAUAUUAAAUCUAGAUGUUUACCAUUAUUGAUUCCAAAAAAGAGAAAAAAGGAGGAGUGUAAUAGAUACAGACAUACUCAAAUUAAAUAAUAAUACAACAAUAAAAUCAAAAUGCAUAAGCAUUAUUGUUCUUCACACCUGAUUAUUGCCAUCUUCAUCUAAAUUUUAAUUAUAAAGUUCAGGAGCAAGGCGAGGUGAGACCAAGGCUUCAAGCGGUGUAGAUUUAAUGUUAGUCAAUCCAGCGGUGCCGGUCAAGUCAAUCAAACCAUUGGAUGGUGUUGAGAAAUCGAAGGCGUGCAAAAAAUUAGACAUGGUCAAGAACAACAUAUGGAGUGCAAACGAUGUUCCAGGACAACUCCUCCUACCGCUGCCAAAGGGCAUUAGUUCAAAAUGUUGACCCCUAACAUCCACAUCUUUGUGGGUAGUGAGAAACCUCUCGGGCUUAAACUCCAAUGGUUCUGGCCAUUUUUUAGGAUCCCUUUGAAUCUUGUGAAGGUUUAUGAUCAACCGAGUGCCUUUGGGGAUGUCGUAGCCUCCAAUGGAGCAAGUUUCACUGAGCUCACGAGGUGCUGACAGAGGUGCAGGUGGAUACAAUCUUAAUGUCUCUUUAACUAUGGCUUGAAUGUACACCAAUUUGCCGAUGUCUGUUUCAUUCACAAACCUAUCCUUGCCUAUAUGGGUGUCUAGUUCUUCUUGAGCCUUUUUGAGUAUAUGAGGUUUAUUUAACAUGAGGGAAAGACCCCAUAUUAAGGUAACUGUUGUUGUGUCACUGCCUGCUAAAAUCAUAUUCUGCAAUAUGCAUUUUUCAUAAUUUUUAGAAUUUUAGAAUUGAAUAAUGGAGAGAUAAGAAUUGAAAAAAGAACGAGUAAAAUGUUAUACCAAAGAAGUGGCUUUGUUGAUGGUGUCAGCAUCAUAUCCGGCAAGACUUGCACCUUUAAGAACGGAGUUCAUCACAUCCAUGAAAUCCUUCUCCUUUUUAUUUUCAUCCCAGCGUCCACUCUUCCUAUGGUCAUCUAGCCAUCCCCCGGAAAUUUCAUCCAACUCUUUAGCAGUUAUCUUCAUCCGCUUUUCAUAACCACCAAUAUCCAACCAUCGGAGGAAAGGGACUGCAUCUCCCAACACAAACAUCCCUGUCAAGUGAAAGAAAUCCCGUAGAGCCUUACGAUAUCUCAACACCUCUUUUUGGUCUUCCUCUGCGACAACACUGUACCUCUUACCAGCAACCGUCCUCAUAAUAACGUUCAAAGUCAAGUCUGAAAAGUGUUUUUUCAUCUCAACCAACACCUUACCCGAGCCAUCCUUUUUCUCGGCCCAAGUUUUAUAUAAUAGUUUCAUUGAGCCUUCUAUUUCCGAGACAAAAACUUUCUUGAGUUGAUCGAUCCUGUGAUUAGAUAGCACCUCCAACAUUGUUAUUUUGCGCAUUUCACGCCAGUAUUGUCCAUAAGGAGAGAACCCAAACAUGGCAUAGUUGUAACCCAAGUGUUCUGCGGCCGCAAAUUCGGAACGGGAGGAAACAUACAUAUCAUUGACGGUGAAGAUUUCCUUGGCCACCUCACUCGAAUUCACCACCAAGGCUGGAUGAACACCGAUCCGGAUCAUGUAGGCAGGUCCAUAUUUCUCUUCCAAGUCUCCUAAUGCUUCAUGAGGGGCCUUGGGUCCACCUAACAGCGGAAGGUGACCGAUUAUUGGCCAUGCACCGGCAGCUACAGGUGGAGCUUUCCCACCACUUCCUGAGCUAGGCUUUUUGAGCUUGGUGUACAGAAAGAGUAGCGUGAUGCCAAAGACUACUGCAUAACCAAAAGUGGAGAGAUCAAGAGGAUCCAUCUCUACUUAUUUUGAUAGGAAAAUGCAGAGAUCUUCUGAAGAAGUUGUUGAUGGGAAUGAAAUGCUUUUUGCACAUAUAAAUAUAGCUGGGAGGUGUGUAGUCGGUCAAGCUUGUCUUUUGGGAAAUUGAAUAUUUUUUUAGUUCUAUUUUAUUAAUAUUAAACAAAGCUCCGUCAUCAAUGUUUGAAUGAUUUUCACCUGCAUUCAGUGCAAUAAAAAAAAAUACAACAAAUUUAUUUGUGGAUAAGAAAAUAAAAAUAAGUCCCUCCCCAAUUAAUCGAGCCCAUCAUGAAAAAUGUAGUUACAUGUAUUGAAAACCUUAAACAAGCUAUUACACUAGAACUAGAACUCGAUUCUAUGUCUAUACUCUAUAUCAAUCUUUUUUAUGAUCAUUUGAAGUAAACUGAAAAUAAUUAAUAUAGUGAGCUAAAAGGGUUCUUCCAUUAGCCUCGAUAAUGACAACCAAAUUAAAGAUAUAAGUGUCUCUUUCUAGCUCUAUGUGUCCUCUGCACUCCAAUUGGUAGGUGGGGGGUCCUGUUUGGCGGCCAAUAAUUGGUAUAUUAGCUUCUUUCUAAUUUAACACCUUUUAAAUUCACAACGAUAAUUAUUUUGAAGUAACUGAGCACAAAAUUUUUAAGUUAAUUAAGUUUAUAAGUUUUAUUUUAUUAUUUUAAUUUAAUUUAAUUUUUUUUAAUUGAGCCGAGUAAAAUAAAAUUGAAUCGAGUUAAACCGAGUAAAAUUAUUCAAGUUAUAUUAAAAAACUAAACAAGUCAUAAUAAAAUAUUGUUAUAAUAUAACUAAUUCCAUAUUAGAUCAUAUAAAUUUAAAAACUCUUUAAAAGAAAAAUAAGAGAAAAAUAAAAUACUUUAGCAUUAUAACCUUGAAUCAUUAAUUUAUUUAUUUAGGUUCUAAAAUUAUUGUUUUAGAAUUUCUGUUAAUUUUAAUACAUUUUUUAAUUUUUAAUUUUUUAAAUAUAAAGUUUAGAAUUUUUAAAAAUAUUUAGAAUUUUAAAAAUUAUUUUGAAUUAUUUUAUAAUUUUUACUGAGAGUGAUCGAUUUGUUUAUUUUCAAAAUUAAUAGAGACUAAAUGAGAAUUUACACCAAUCUAUUAUUCGAGUUGUAAAAUUCUACUAGACUCGAACUCGAAACUCGAUUUAUUUAUUCAAGUUUACUUAUUCAGUUAACUCGAAAUUUAUAUAUAUUUUUUAAUUUUGAAUUAAAGUUUUACUCACCCAUAAUAAUAAUAAUAAUAUUAUUAUUAUUAUUAUUAGAAAAACGAAAUAGAGUAAAUAAACUAAAUUAAUCUUGUCAUUAGAUUAAUGCAUUAUUGCCCUAAGUUACUAUUUAAAAAAAUAAAUGAACAUAAGUUGGUAGACUUCUUGGCUUGUAGUCGUCACCCAUCACCCAUGUUGGCUAGAAUAUUUUUUUUUUCUUUUUGGCCUUUGAAAAUUCAGUGUAAGAAAUGAAAGUUAAAGAAGUAUUAGUUUGGAAAGAUCCACCUCAAUUUUAUGAUUUUUAAGAUUAAUGCCUUAGUACCCUAAAUUAAUAUCUACAGGUUCAAUUUAAAAGAAUAACCCUUAUCGAUGUUAGUAAUUUUUAAACAAAAUUAACAGAAAAAUUGAUUAUGAGCAAUUCAAAGGGUAGAGAGAGUAAUUUUGAGUAAAUAAAACUAAAAGGAUCAAAUCCACACAAAUCUAUAACUUUAAGGACUUUACUUAUGAUUUAACCAAAAAGUAAAUCAAUAGAAGUCGUUCUCGUCACUCGUCACUCAUCACCCUUGUGGAUUAAAUAUGACUAUCUCAUUUUUCCAAUAAUGAGAUUAAUGUUAAAAAAAAUUAUAUUUCAUAUAUUAAAAUUAAGAGGAGGGUAAAACCCUGCUAAUAAUGUGAUUCAAACUCAAGUCAUACUUGAGACGGUAAACACCUGACCAUCAAAACAACAACACAUGGGGUUCACUUUUUUUUUAAAAUUUUUAAAUUAAAGGAAAAUACAUUUAAAGGUACUCAAAUAGUUAAAUUCAUAUUUUUUUAAUUCUAAAACAACUGUGAAAAAUAUAAAAAAAUUAAAUUAAAUUAAUUGUCACUUAAUUAGGGUUAGGAAUAAAAUAGAAUAAAGUAAAAUUUGUUACAACUAUAGAUUGAAUAAUAAGAUAAGAUCGAAGAUGAUACCAAGGAUAAUAGAUUAAAGAAUAUCAAGAUUCAGAAUAUUUAAAUAUUUUGUAACGUUAUUAUUUAUUAUUUACUUAUGUUUAGAACUCUAGUCUUAUGAUUUUUAUUUUAAUUAUUUUUAGGAAGUUAAUUUUUUUAAAAAUUUGUGAUGUUGAAUUUAUUAUAUAUGAUAUGAUCUAAUUUGAAUAGUUGUUUCUCUUAUAAAAAAUAUUAUAAAAUUGAGAAAAUAUUAAGAUAAUAUCAUGACAAUUAGUUAAGUUGAUUUUGAACAAAAUUCAUAAAUUUCAAUGAUUUGGUUGCAAUUUUUAUUCGAUUUGAAUUUAAUAUUUAAUUAAAAAUGUUUUUAUUUGAUUCUAAAAUAUAAAAUAUAUUUAAAAUAAAAAAAUAUUAAAGAUAUUAGUUUUUAAUGCUAAAACGAAAAACAAUUAAAAUUAAUGUUUUGACAUUAAAAGUCAAAAGUUAAUUUGAUUAUUAAUACAUAAAAAUCAUAAUUAAUUUUAUAAAUCAAAUCAAAUUCUAAUAUCGCAAAACACAAUUUUCUACAAAUUAAUUAUUAUACUUAAAAUUUUCAAUGACCAAACGUGUUGAUGUAGUAACAUUUAUGUUUUUAUCCGUGGUUUUAAAAUUUGAUUGAACUAAUAGUAUUGAGAAUUAAUUGAAAUUGAAAUGAUUUUGGUUUUUAACUUAAUGAAAUAGAUUAAUGAUAAAUAUAGGAUUUAGAAAAAUUCAAAUUAUCUUUUCCUACUAUCUCAUUUCAUUUUAAAUAAUUUAAACCAAAUUCAUGUUUUAAGUGAAACAAUCUUGAGUCAAGCAGAUUCAGUGGCACAUGCCAUUGAGUUUGGUGGAGUGGCCAUGUAACUAAAUGUGAAAUAGUUUUGAGAAAAAAUAAUACAUGCAAGGCAUACGCUUCUAACUUUUAAUUAAUCAGGAAAAAUAAUAUAUAAAAUUUAUAUAUUCGACUCCCAACUCUUAACAUACUCAAGCAGGAUGAUGCUAACAUAUUAGACACGAGAAAUAGAAAUGCAUAGCACCAAGAUUUCAAUUUUCAACUUUAACUUUGACAACUAAGAUGUUCCCCGUUUACCAUCUCAACAUCACCAAAUUCUAGAUGUUUUACUAUACAAGUAUUUGUUUAUUUAUCAAUUUUACCAUUAUUGAUUAAAAUAUAUAUAAUCGAAACCACAUACUCGAAUUCAACAAUAGAAGAAUCAAAAUGCUUAAACAUUCUUCUUCUUCACACAUGAUUAUUGCAAUCUUCAUCUAGAUUUUAUUUAUAAACUUCAGGAGCAAGACGAGGUGAGACCAAUGCUUCAAGCGGGGUAGAUUUCAUGUUGGUCAAUCCAACAGUGCCGGAUAAGUCAAUC